ACACAUGCAAGUCGAACGAUGAAGCCCAGCUUGCUGGGUGGAUUAGUGGCGAACGGGUGAGUAACACGUGAGUAACCUGCCCCCGACUCUGGGAUAAGCCCGGGAAACUGGGUCUAAUACCGGAUAUGACCUCGCACCGCAUGGUGCGGGGUGGAAAGAUUUAUCGGUGGGGGAUGGACUCGCGGCCUAUCAGCUUGUUGGUGAGGUAAUGGCUCACCAAGGCGACGACGGGUAGCCGGCCUGAGAGGGUGACCGGCCACACUGGGACUGAGACACGGCCCAGACUCCUACGGGAGGCAGCAGUGGGGAAUAUUGCACAAUGGGCGAAAGCCUGAUGCAGCGACGCCGCGUGAGGGAUGACGGCCUUCGGGUUGUAAACCUCUUUCAGUAGGGAAGAAGCGAAAGUGACGGUACCUGCAGAAGAAGCGCCGGCUAACUACGUGCCAGCAGCCGCGGUAAUACGUAGGGCGCAAGCGUUAUCCGGAUUUAUUGGGCGUAAAGAGCUCGUAGGCGGUUUGUCGCGUCUGCCGUGAAAGUCCGAGGCUCAACCUCGGAUCUGCGGUGGGUACGGGCAGACUAGAGUGAUGUAGGGGAGACUGGAAUUCCUGGUGUAGCGGUGAAAUGCGCAGAUAUCAGGAGGAACACCGAUGGCGAAGGCAGGUCUCUGGGCAUUUACUGACGCUGAGGAGCGAAAGCAUGGGGAGCGAACAGGAUUAGAUACCCUGGUAGUCCAUGCCGUAACGUUGGGCACUAGG
rnacentral:rRNA from 1 species